UCUGUUGAAUUCUCCAUUCUGUCUAUUGUGUUUGAGAUCAGAGUGACACUAUAAAAGAGUGGGAAGCAAUAAUUGAAAGUGAAUCUAACACCAAAAAAGAAGCUGAAAGGGAAGAAUUGAAUGCUUACCCGCAGAUUUUUUGUUGCUGAUAUCGGCCACGUGUGUUCAAAGAAUUAAGAUCGAAUAAUGUGUCUUGGACUCUUGGUGAUCAUGAAGACACGAGGUGAUGCAAUUGUUGCUGGAAAUAGUGGUUGUUAGGUGGUGGCACGUUUAAUAAUUCAUUAAGAGUGAUCCCUCGAAGUUUUAGGGAUUUAGGAUCACGUGUUUAUUAGAUUAAGAUAUACUAGUAUUAUCCCCGUUUGUCCGUGCGAUGCACGGAUAAUUUUUUUAUGAACUCCAC